rnacentral:rRNA from 1 species
AUACGGAGGUGGCUAGCGUUGUCCGGAUUUACUGGGCGUAAAGCGCGCGUAGGCGGAUAAUCAAGUUGAGGGUGAAAGCCCGGAGCUCAACUCCGGAACUGCCCUCAAAACUGAUUGUCUUGAGUUCGGGAGAGGUGAGUGGAAUUCCUAGUGUAGAGGUGAAAUUCGUAGAUAUUAGGAAGAACACCAGUGGCGAAGGCGGCUCACUGGCCCGUUACUGACGCUGAGGUGCGAAAGCGUGGGGAGCAAACAGGAUUAGAUACCCCGGUAGUCC